AAUAGAUACCCGGGUAGUCCACGCCGUAAACGAUGAGUGCUAAGUGUUAGAGGGUUUCCGCCCGUUUAGUGCUGCAGCUAACGCAUUAAGCACUCCGCCUGGGGAGUACGGCCGCAAGGCUGAAACUCAAAGGAAUUGACGGGGGCCCGCACAAGCGGUGGAGCAUGGGGUUUAAUUCGAAGCAACGCGAAGAACCUUACCAGGUCUUGACAUCCUCUGCCAACCCUAGAGAUAGGGCGUUCCCCUUCAGGGGACAGAGUGACAGGUGGUGCAUGGUUGUCGUCAGCUCGUGUCGUGAGAUGUUGGGUUAAGUCCCGCAACGAGCGCAACCCUUGAUCUUAGUUGCCAGCAUUCAGUUGGGCACUCUAAGGUGACUGCCGGUGACAAACCGGAGGAAGGUGGGGAUGACGUCAAAUCAUCAUGCCCCUUAUGACCUGGGCUACACACGUGCUACAAUGGAUGGUACAAAGAGCUGCGAACCCGGCGAGGGUAAGCGAAUCUCAUAAAGCCAUUCUCAGUUCGGAUUGAGG
rnacentral:rRNA from 1 species